UUCAUUGUGAUUCAUUUGUAAUAUAUAAGAAUUAAUUAAUGUUUUGUCUUUCAUGUGAGAAGAUUUCUCCUCCCUGAGAAGAUUUCUCCUCCCUUUGUAUUAAAUCUGAAAAAGUAAAAAAACAAACAAACAAAAAACAACAAACUGCUCAGUACCUAAUUUCAGCUGCAUAUAUUAUAUACUUUUUAUAUGUAUUCAAGUUCUGAUUUACACUUUCAGUGCCAUGUACUGUUUGGACAUUCCAAAUAAUUUCAGCAGUUGUCAGAGGAUCCUCCAUUUGGAUUUACUACGCAGAGCACUGCCUGUCAGCUGCUUUGUCAAACUUCCUCUCUGUACUGGACUAGAACUGCCACUUCAGAAAUGACUGCUCUCUGUUAUUUAAUAUGAGGAAAAUCAUAUCAAAUCAGACUACAGUUAGCUGGUAAGAAGGAAAUAAUAAUUGCCUAAGUCAUUUUUAUGGAAUUAUUUGUUUUCAUAGUAAUUUUCUUACGAACAAAGUUCAAAAACCAAGAUUUCUAGUUCGUUUGGUUAGUGCUAGGCCGAAGCAUUUUGGGUGAGAAGGAUUUUUAUAUAGUCAGACAUGAAACAGAAAUAAGGCCAUAUACUGAAGUGACAACUAAUGGAGCUGAUGUGUCAUAACUUCUUUGGAGAUUACUGUGAAAUUUGUGUGAAACCUGCAAAAACAGCUGCUGUUCACCUACGUGUACAGUGCACGUAUUACUCAUUCUGUUAAAAAAUAACCUCAGUUCUACCAUGAGCUGACACACACAUGUAUGACCUUGCCCAAGCCCCUGAGUCACUGCAUGUCUCUGUUUCCUUAUUUAUUUAAAGCAACAAUAACAAAACAAAAAGAACCAACAACAAAAAAACAUACCUAGAUCAUAAUGCUGGCUGGCGUCAGAAAUAUCUUAACAUGGAACUCUGAGUUGCUUAGACAUGCUAUCGUAUUAAGUCUUAAAUACUGUAAAAGAAAAUCCCUCAGUGUUUGAGCAGACCACGUGUGUAAAUGAGUGAGGAUGCUUUUGUGAAAUGGUAACAAGGACACAGGGAGUCAAGCUCUGUAGAGCAUGACAGCGACCAUCGGUUUUGCUGUAAGCUUACCUGAAAAUCCUGAGCAUUAAGACUUCUCUUAAAAAAGAAAUUGUCAGUGCAGUUGCUAGCAUAACAUUAUACUGUGGACCCACAAACUCCAAAGAAGGAUGUUAUGGAAGGGUAGCAAAGAUCAGGGAUUGGAGAAUUUCCAAUGCAGAAAGAUUCUGAUGUGUGUUAUGAAGAACAGCCAAUUUGAGACAGUAACUUUGUAAGAAGACAUCUUGGGUAUUCUCAGAAUGUUUUGGUUCUGUUUGAAAAGAAGUUACAUAACUAGAAAAAUAUCAGGAUGGAGAAAUAUUUAUUUUACUUGAAGCUAAAAAAAUAUUACUUCUUUUUCUUUCUUUAAUUCAGCCUGGUGUUUUCUAUAAAGAGUUACUGGUUGCAGAAGGAAAUGUCUGUUGUAAAUAAUGUUGAUGUCACAGCGUGAUUGUAAAAGGAUUGUAAACCUGGGUUGGGAAUGAUUAGUGUUUUGAUACAGAAAAUAUAAAGCUCUUGCCAAAAUCAAAGUGAAGUACACCUACAAUUAAAACAAAACAAGACAUCUCAGAUUCCUGUGUAUUUUUAAUUUAUAUGGAAGGUAGAGCCUAGUGUAAUUUCUGUUUUUGUUAGCCUUGCUGCCUAGCUUUGUGCUCAUGCCAAGCUGACGUUUCCAAAAAUAUCACUCCUGUAGGGUAAAUAGAUCAAUGUACCAUAAACAGACCCUGCACACCUCCACAAAUGUAAUUGAGUCAUUUAUGCUAAAGGCCAGCCAAAUAAAACAGGAUAUUUGCAGAUUAUUUAUCCUUUUGCUUUAACAAUUUUUCUCUGCCACUCACACAGCAGUGUAGUAGGAAACAGAGAAGGGUCCUACUACUCCUGAGACAAAAUGUGAGUAAUUCCAUACUACACAUUUUGUUUUCUUAAUGACUGUUAUACUUUUAAAAAGUUAAUAAAUGCUGGCUACACUUUUCAAAGCAAGGAGGCCGGAAAUUACCAAGGACAGAAACUUGUUUGCUGUAACAAACAAGAUUUAGUUUUAUAGAAUUUGGUUACUUAAACUAAUUUACUUCGUAAGCGUAUUAUUAAGAAUAUUUUCUUCUAGAAAACUUAGGUGGUCUUUUGGGGGGAGAGAGGGUGUUUGUUUGUUUCUUUGUUUGUUUCCUUGUUUCUUUGUUUGUUUGUUUGUUUUUUAAGUAAAAUGCAAUUGGUGAAAGCUUUUUAUUUUAAUUUUCCUGUAUUAUCAUUUUCCCUUCUUAGCUACUUCACUGCUGGACAAGUCAGGUGAGCACAAACAUGGUGUCAGCGUCUUGACUUUCCAAAAGCAAGUACUGAAUUUUGCAACCAUGGCAAUCACAGAACAAUUGUAUGCGAGCUGUAAAGCAUGGUGUGUUUACUUUGUGCAGUCUUAUGCAAUCCACUGUAACAAGCACUGUGUGAGAGGUUGCCUGUUUGGUAGUCCAAAUGCUGCAAUUACACAUGUCGAUGUGGUGAGCAUGUUACUAAUGUUGACGUGGUAAAUGUAUGAGUGACAUACUGGUGUUUAUGAAAGCACACAGCUGAGUCAUUGCUCUUUUUGUUAGACUCUUCCUCAGUUUCAACUUCCAGGGAUGCUCUUAUUGUCAGAAUUAACAUACAAAAGAACAUAGAUUUUGGAAAAUUGCAGACACUCCAGUGUUACCCUUUCUUUCUUUUUGUAAAAUGAUUCAAAACCAUAUGAAGUAUAGAGCUUUUUUCCCUAAGUUAACUCAUCUUUGUGGAUGUAUUUCUUUAUUAAGUAUAAAUUCACUGUUUUAUUGUUUAAGGCUAGGCAGUGAGAAGUGGGUGAACUUCAUACUGCUUAACUCCUUUUAUCUUAGUUUAUGUAUAUCACUUAGAUACAAGAGAAAGUAACCCCUUGUCACAGCCUGCCGUCACUCAUGUCCCUUGUACAUCUGAUUGCCAAAAGGAAAGGGAGGCAGAAAUUAGACAGCAGUUCUGUAUCUCAGGGUGUAACUGUACUCCAUCUACAUAACAUAUGCAAUGCCAAUAAAUAUAAAUCCAAGAUAAAUGCAAGCAAAGAUCAGCAUCUCAGGUCAUAGUAUUUCUAAAAAUUCUUAAUGGCAAGUGCUAGGUUACUACAUUCUGAAUCAGAAAAUUAGAUUUGAGAUUUGUUCCUUCUAGUUUUAUUCCCUUGUUAUGUGACUAAAGCAUGCAUGUAACCCUACCAAGCUUUGAUGUGACUCCCAAAGUAUGAAUGAAUGAACAAAUAAACUUCAAUGAUCAGAAGAUGCGCACUGAGAAUGAAGGGUCUUGAUCACCAAAUGGUUAUUUUGUAUUUGUGGAUUAAAAGCCCAAAGCUACGUGGAGUUUUGCUGGAAAGAGUGCAAUUUUUGCAGACUUAAAACUUUUCUAAUACCUUUUACUUUUCUUAUAAUUAAAUUAUGCCUCAUUCACCACUGUAAAAUGUUUUGACAUGCAAAAAGAAGAAACAAGCUUGAAUUCUUAAAACCUGAAUUACUGGAUUACUUACUAAACUGUAAGAGCUGCAUUCUUGAUUCAAACCAAGAAAAGAUAACUCAUUAUUAUGUUGGAACAUGGCAAAGUUCAAUACUAGAACUAGAAGUGCUAUGGCACUUGGGACAGACAACAUAAAAAUUGUGUAAUUUACUAAAAAGGAAAAAUUGCUUUGCCUUAGAAUCUUGUGGAAAAAUUAGAAAGUACUGUAGUUUCAUGAUGGUUUAUUCUUUUGGACAUGUGAUGUGUAGUCCUCAAUUAAACCUCAGUUUGGUUGGUCUACUGGAAAGCUGCCAGUCCAUACAGCUUAAAUGUUUGUCAGAAGUGAAGAAAUUACCUAAUUUAGAAUUGUAGUAGAAAGGUAAAAAUAGGUCUCUGCAGGCCUUCAAGUCCUAUUUCUGUACUUAUGUUCCCAAGGAAUGUAUUACAGGUAGUAGUAGACUGUGUAUCUCUUAACUCAGUUUUUUUAAUAAAUACAGGUCAAAUUGUAUCUGUUUUGGAAUUUGGCCUUCACUGCAACCUUUGGACUUGUUCACAAGUGACAAAUGUAUUAAAUAGAACUGACUAAAAAUGGGAGCAUGAUUUUGCAAAGAGAGACAAAAGAAUCUCAACUUAGGAUGACCAGCACGUUGAAGGAGAUAACAAUCUGAGAAGAAGCAGAUUUUGAAUGAGAAGCUUUACAUCUCAGCUGUAUUUAUACCAGGCCUGUAUUGGAUUGAAGAGCAUCUCUGGCAUUAAGAAAAAGUGAACAUGCUGCAAUGAAGGCUCAGAAACAUUACCCACACUCUCUGCCUUUCAAAAUGUAAUCCAGGCCAAUUAAAGAAGAUGGUUUUGAUCUCGUAGAGAGUUUUGUGGCAGACCUGCGAGUUUGUAGGAAAAGUCAUACACAAAACUAUUGUCAUGAGAAAACAGGUAUCAAUAUAAGGUUAUUUUCCUAAGAGCUUUCAUGUAUCUAAAACUAAGCAUAAUGAAGAUGAUAAGGGUUCCUACCUUUUAAGGCAUGUAACACAUGGUUAUUGACCUAUUUUUGAGAAGUUUCAUCGCCGGGUUGCAACUCCUUAGGAAUUCUAAGAUCCACGUGGUGAGUGAGAGAGUAGCACAGGAUAAAUUAUUCAUACUCAUUUUUCUUACUGUACUGUAUCUUAUACCAUUUGGCAACCAGUUAACUUACACCAGUAUGACAGGAUUUUAAUUAAUAGGUCUCAAAGUUACUCCAACUACUGCACAGGAUUUUGUACUUCAGUUCUUGUGUACUUAAUAUUAAUACCUCCCAAAAGUGAAGCUAGAUAUAGAGUGCUUGUCAUCUAAUGCCCAGUCUAAGUUCUUGUGCCAAAGAUUUUUCUCAGUGACCUGUUUUCAUUGACUCUUAGUUACUUAUGGUAAGACACCAGCACUGAUUUACUAGGCAAGCAUUUUGUACAUGCUUUUACUAUUUUUUCUAUGUUACAGAGUUAGGGUGUUGUUGUUUUCCUAUAAAAUAUUAGCUUGUUAGGGUUUUGCUGUUCAUAUAAUUUUCUGUGUAAACACUUGUCACAGUGAACGUAGGUAACUUAUUAAAAUGAUUAAGUACUGUGUGUCUGAGCCUGCAACAAAGCAAUAAUGUUUUCUAUCCAGUUUCUUCAUACAAUGCCAGCCUUAAAAACAGCAGACCAAAUUAUUGUAAAGAAAUACAGUUCUACUUGGUAUCAAUAAGGUUUGGGCCAACUUAAUUAUUAGAAAUAUUUGUCUGCCUAAUUUUUGAAGUAGUUUCUCAUGUAUAUAAUUAUAGCUCUUAACUAAAAUGAUUAGUCUAUGUCCCAGUCACUGCUCAGCCCAGGGCUGCUGAAUCUUGUGCUACCGAUUCCCAGGUAUUCACUAGUGGAGAAUCUACAUCAUCGGUUGGAAUUUUUAUUAUCAAAAUGAUAGAAAGGCCUCUACUGAAGUUUAAGCCUUCCUGCACAUGUAUGAUAAAAGAUGUAUCCAUACAGCGUUCUGUAAACAGAAAAUUCAUAGAAGGGGUUAAAAGCAGAUCUAAGACUAACAUAGUCCACUCUUAUAAGCUGCUUAGUAUUUUAACUCUGAAGUCCCAGAGUUUCCCACUUCCACAUGUUAGUAAUCUUCCAGCUAUACUCAACAAAGUUUUCAUUGUGCAAAGAAAGCCAAGAGGAAUGAAGAAGUUGCAUCUGCAGUGAAAUAGAGGGUAGAUAUAAGCCAGCUUGCAUCUCACGGCCCAGGGAUGAUUCACCAAGACACUGAGGACAUACCCAGAGGGAAAGAUUCUCUAACUGUGCUGGAAAGAAGGGGAGCACAGCUAGGAAGGAACUAGCCUUUCCAGUUUACACCAAGUCAGAGAUUCUUUCCAUAUUGGGAAACUGAGAUAACAAAUCAAAGCCAGAAUCCAGUCCAGUCUCACAGGCAGGGCUGGUGCCUCUACCAAGCAAGACUGCCCAGCCUGUAGCAUUAAUAGUAAUUCUAUGGGAAAGCAAUAAGCAAUGUUUUCAAAAAGCUGAUUAUGUGCUACAGAAGUGAUAUGCAAAUAUACUUGCCGGUUAUCUCACACAGGUGGUCUCAGGAAGCAGUCUCAAGACAUAUUUAGAGGUAAAUCGUGUUCUUCAUCACAGUAUUGUACACUACCAAUAUAUGAAAUUCAAGAUGAAAUCAGUAGAUGUUUUUACAUGUAACUGGGUGCAGAAAUUAGCCCUUAAGUGUGCUUGAAAGUCAGAGAUUUCUCUUGGUGUCAGGUAAGAUGAGACUUCUGUAUUCAGCAUUAGGCAAUUCAUGUAUACUUCAGCAAGAACUAUGCUAUAGCAACAGCAUAUCAUGUUUUAAAUAAGAAAGAUGAUGACAGACUUCAAGAUUGAAGCCCUAUCUGCUUUUCCUCUCUAUCUUGAUUAACAGCAAUAGUAAGAAAAAGGAUCCUGAUACUUCCAUGUCUCCUAAAAAGGUUAAAAGAUGCAAGCAUCAAAACAUUCAUAACUAUAAAGUGAUACACAACUUUUCUAUAAAUGGAAUGUCUGACUCUUUGCUGUCUUUUAGUAGUAAUCUAUAUCCAUUUUGGGGUUAUUCGUAGGAGAACAGUCCCUAUGACCUCGAUCUGUUUCUAUAAAGGGUCACAAAGCUGUCACUUUGCUGCUAUGUUAGACCUUUUCAGCUAGGGGUGCUAGUUGGGAAAUGGACAAUGGCACAGCAAUAUUCAGUCUUCACAGAAAGCUUUUCCCUAUAUAUCCAUGCUUUGUUUUCUACUUCUCCUCUCAUCCAAAGGAGAGGCUUGCACGCUUAUUUGUGCUUUUGAAAAUCAGUUUCUCUCUCAGGCCCCUCGUUGUACAGACUAACAGUUUAAAUUUCUUCAGAAGAGGGGAGUAGGAACAAGUCACAGUUAAAGACUAGAGAUAUUUACCCUCUCUUACCUGCCCUCAAGAAACUGAGGUGCUGCCAGCAAUUAGAGAUAGUUGUCAGUUCCCCUGAGAUUACAAUAAGCAGGAACCAGUAAGUGCACUCUGUUCUCAUCUACCUGCCCUAGAAAAGCUCAUUUGCCACUGAACAAUAGCAAGCACUUCACAGUUCUCUGAAUUUUUUCUGAUCUCUGAAAAUCAUCCAAAAUGCAAAGAGUAACUGCUGUUUGAGGUUAAAAUCCUUAUCUAGGAACAGUGACAAAAUUUUGCAACUCAUGUAACUCCUCCUAAGUAGUUUCAAAAUCUUUUAGUGAAAACAUAUAGUAUGUGUGUUUGGAUGUUGUAACCAAUACUCAGAAGACAAUGAGAACAAGACUGAGUGUCUCCUAUUGCAGUUGGGCUGAUUGACAGUCUUUUUAUUUCCUGAUGAAUAAUGGACACGGCAAAACAGAACAAGCACAGGUAACAUACAAUAAAAUUAUGGAAACUUUACAAAUCUGUGUAGUUUCAUAUGUAAAGUAUGUAUAGGAUUCUAGUCAGCUAUGAAGCUGUUAAAUAGUAGACUCAUAAACACUGGGAUUAUGGGAUUUUAAUGUGGCUCAUCACAUCCUAGGUGAGUCAAUCAGAAAUGUGAUUCAUUUAAAACAAAAAAAAAAUCAGGUGAAAUUAAAUAAUCAUUUUAAUAUGACACCACAAAAAGCUUUGUGGCAUCUUAAAUCUAUAGGGUAAACUAGCCCUACAGGAACACUCACCUGUUUUGGUACAGUGGGAAGCAAGAACAUGUUGGACUGAUUGUCAGAUUCCAAGUACUUGCCUGCUUGACAGUCCUUCCUGAGAAUUUAAGUUGUGUCCUUUUGUGAGAAUGAGUAGGAGAGUUUCUGACUUGCUGUUACAUCAGCAGGUGGGUGGCAUGAAUCUCACACAGGCCAUUUUGAAGCAAUGGCUUUACCAAGUAACUGAUUUAAUUACUGUUUUCUUUCUCUUACUGCAGAUGCCUUAGUAGCGUCUGUUGUUCUUUUGUUCUGCUUUGCCCUUCCUUCCUCUCUGCCUGUUCUUUACCUUCAACAUUCAUUUGAUUUGAAAAAGAAUCCCUCAAGAAUAUUGUUGUUUCCUCUGCAACCUUUGUAAUGGUGUCUUUGCUGCUGCUUUUCCCAGUGGCCUGCCUCUGGCCUCCCACCUUCAUGGGAGACUGUCUUGUUUCACUUGUCUGGGGCACGUUGCCCUCCAGCACUUCUCCUGAGCAGAAGUCACUGACUGAGUCACAGCUGGGUGUUGUCUGGCUGAAGCUUCCUACCACCAAGUUUCAGAAAAAACUUGUGACCUGCAAACUUGACCUAUAUAAACAGAAGGUUUUUCUGUGCAGUAAGUGAACAGUUUGGCACAAAUAGUAACAUGCCUAUGGAGAACUGCUCUACUAAGUCUGGAACUCAUCAUCAUGAUUUGUUUCCUUCUGCGAGUGCUGCCAUUCACUAAGCAGCUAGAACACAGGCGCAGAGGAUAGAGAUUAAAUGCCACUGUCUGCCUUCUGGAGUCUGAUUCUGCAGUUCAAAUUAUAUUCAGCUACAGACCAGUGCUCACUACAGAUUUGACUGCAAUGAAGAUGUGGAACAAAACAUCUGGUUCUCCAGGGAAAAUGGAAGGCAUCUCAGCCAUCUUCUCAUAGAUCACCUAUACCAGCAUUUGGCACAGAACAGGUAUGUACAUAUAUAAUGCAUAUCUCCCUGAUCCCCUUUACUUACCAUUGUGUUGAGCAGAACAGAGGAAGGCCUGCCAUGUGGUCACAAACUUCGGUGCAUCUGGCCAUGACCUGCCUUUCUAGUUUCCAUGCAGCAGCAUACAAACAUUUCUUUCUGUUACGGAAGUCCUUGGAGUUCCUCUGCUAUUGAGUAAAAUGACUAAGACAAAUCUUAAAUGAAGAAAAUUAGCUUUAUUUAUGUAAAUUAGAAAAAUGAAUUGUUAGAGCUUUGGUCAAAUGGUCAAUUCUGUACAAUUUACAAUUAUAUUUAUAUACAAGACUUAAUAAAAUACAGUACAUCACA